UCGCUGUAAUUUCACCGACACCAAGUUCUGUUACACUCAGGAGCGGAGUUACUGUGUCAGCUACGGAUUUGAUCGAACCUAGUAGUUUCAAUUCAAAUCUCACAUUUUCCGUCUACUUUAACUCUGUUCAAAUUUUAAAUGGUUCCAUCAACGCCUUCUCAAGAGCUAAGUUUAUUUAAUUUUUCAAUAUGCCUUUACUACUGAAUCGUUUAUUAUCCAAAAUUUCCUUCUUUUCUUCACUUAAUCAGUUGGUUCGAUGGUUCCUUCUUAAUUUAGGGUUGCAAUCCACGAAGAGGCCUGAUAAGUAAAUGGCUGGUUGUAAAAGGCGAAAUUCCGAAGAGGAAAUUGAGAUAUGCAGAAUCAACAUGUCUUUUUUGAGGAACGUUUAAUAGCGCUUUCUAUUGGUAUAUUGGAUUCUGGGAUUCAGUGGUCAGAAAUAAAAGAGUACUUUCUAAGAGAUCCUCCAUUGCAUAAUUAUUCAAAUUCUUGCUCUAUUUGAUGACCUUAUUAUGGUUUGUGAUAUUGAUAUUGCAUUGUGCUUAGGUUGGUGGUCAUAAACCACCAGUAGUCAGGUUGUUUGAUUCAUGUAUUAGUUAUGCGAUGAUUACAAUGUAACAGGUUGUUUAUACAUUGAAUAAAUUGUAGGAAUUAUUAUGUGGUUCAAUAGUGUAUGGAAAUGCAGGAUUUGAACUUCAUGGGAACUAGUUCGAGAUUCUAUCACAACUCAUUUGAUUUACUGGGUUCGACAUCAAUUAUACCUUUUUUCAGUGAUUUUCUUACAUGAGCCAAAGCUCUUGGUUCGUAUGAACUGAGUAAUUACACACUAUAUUCGCCAUUGAUGUUAUGUAUGGAUUGCCUACUUUAACGACAUUUUUGUCUCUAAA